rnacentral:rRNA from 1 species
GGUUGAAGCUGCAGUAACAUGCAGUGAAGGACCGAACUCGUGGAUGUUGAAAAAUCCUGAGAUGACUUGAGAGUAGGAGCGAAAGACUAAUCAAACCCCGUGAUAGCUGGUUCUCUCCGAAAUCGCUUGAGGGCGAGUCUUAUGGAAGUACCCGGCGGAGGUAGAGCACUGAAUGGCUUAGGGGCCCCACCAGGCUGCCAAAACCAAUCAAACUCCGAAUUCCGUCGGUCUCAGUAUCAUAGGAGUCAGGCUGCGGGUGAUAAGAUCCGUAGCCGAGAGGGCAACAGCCCAGACCAUCAGCUAAGGUGCCUAAAUGUGAUUAAGUGGAAAGGAUGUGACUUUGCUUAGACAGUGAGGAUGUUGGCUUAGAGGCAGCCAUCAUUUAAACAGUGCGUAAUAGCUGACUCAUCGAGCGAGGUCGCGCCGAAAAUGAUUGGCGAUCAAAUCACAUACCGAAGCUAUGGAUUCAAUUCUGAUUUGUCAGAGUUGAGUGGUAGGAGAGCGUAAUCAGUGCAGCGAAGCCGAACGGAAACGGACGGUGGAGCGCUGAUUAGUGAGAAUGCAGACACGAGUAGCGAUAAAGCAGGUUAGAAUCCUGCUCGCCGUAAACCCAAGGUUUCCUGGGCCAGGUUCGUCCUCCCAGGGUUAGCCGGGAGCUAAGAUGAGGCCGUAAGGCGUAAUCGAUGCACAGCAGGUUAAAUAUUCCUGCGCCUGUCAGGGUUAAGAUUGUGAAUAAAACAUGGAUAGACAUCAACUAGGCAAUCGAAUGCUGAGCUUAGGUUUCGACCGAAGCGCAUUGGUGGGUUUCUGUGUCUAGAAAAGUUUGCAAUUGUUCCCCCGACGGCCCGUACCGUAAACCGACACAGGUGGGUGAGUGUAAGCGCACUCAGGCGCGCGAGAGAGACCUCUCUAAGGAACUCGGCACAUUAGCCUCGUAACUUCGGGAAAAGAGGUGCUCACUUCGGUGAGCCACAGUAAAUUGCGUUUAGCGACUGUUUAACAAAAACACAGCUCUCUGCUAAGUCGUUAAGACGACGUAUAGGGAGUGACAAGUGACCAAUGCGGAAAGAUUAAGAGAUUUUGUUAGCCGCAAGGCGAAGCUCGGUCUUUAAGUCCCCGUGAAUGUCGGCCGUAACUAUAACGGUCCUAAGGUAGCGAAAUUCCUUGUCGGGUAAGUUCCGACCUGCACGAAUCUUGUAACGACUGAACGACUGUCUCGGAGAGGAUCUCGGCGAAACUGUAAUUGCGGUGAAGAUGCCGCAUACCCGCAGUAGGACGGAAAGACCCUAUGCACCUUUACUGUAAGCUCGUAUUGUGUUCUGGUUGGCGAUGCGUAGCGUAGGUGGGAGACUUUGAAGCGGGUGCCUCGGUGCCCGUGGAGUCGCAAUGUGAAACACCACUCUUUGCUAAUUAGAAUUCUAACCUCAGUCUGAAAUCCAGACGAGGGACAGUGCGUGCAGGUCAGUUUGACUGGGGCGGUUUCCUCCAAAAGAGUAACGGAGGAGCGCUAAGCUUAGUUCAGCACGGUUGGCAACCGUGCGUUGAGGGUAUGGCUAUAAACUAGGUUGACUGUAAGACUCACAAGUCGAGCAGAUGCGAAAGCAGGCCCAAAUGAUCCGACGGUUUAAUGUGGAAUUGCCGUCGCUCAUCGGACAAAAGGUACGCUAGGGAUAACAGGCUGAU